rnacentral:lncRNA from 1 species
UUGUCCUUGAAAACAGGUGCUACGUGAGCCACCUGGUGCUGAUGACUGGCAUGUCGUGCAGGCUUCCUCUGAACAGAGGGUCUUCUAUGUUUAGGCUGAGACUGCACAGCAUGUGCUUCCCCUUCUUUCCUCUUAAACGCCCCAUAUCGUUUAGAAGAAGAACCAUCGUCCUUGGCCAACCGUCCUUCACGGACACCUUCUUCAAGACGCAUCCCCAUGUUCACCA